rnacentral:rRNA from 1 species
CAGGCCUCACACAUGCAAGUCGAACGCUGUGGCAACACAUAGUGGCAUACGGGUGUAGUCACACGUUGGGCACGUCCCCCUUUGUUCGGAAUCACCUGGGAAACUAGGGCUAAUCACGGAUACGGCCGUGAGGCGAAAGGUUUACCGCUGAGGGAUCGGCCCGCGUCCGAUUAGCUAGUUGGUGUGGUAAUGGCGCACCAAGGCGACGAUCGGUAGCUGGUCUGAUAGGAUGACCAGCCACAUUGGGACUGAGACACGGCCAAACUCCUACGGGAGGCAGCAGUGGGGAAUAUUGGACAAUGGGCGCAAGCCUGAUCCAGCCAUGCCGCGUGAGUGAUGACGGCCUUAGGGUUGUAAAGCUCUUUUACCUGGGAAGAUAAUGACGGUACCAGGAGAAUAAGCCCCGGCUAACUUCGUGCCAGCAGCCGCGGUAAU